AGUGAACGCUGGCGGUAGGCCUAACACAUGCAAGUCGAACGGCAGCACAGCAAGAGCUUGCUCUUACGGGUGGCGAGUGGCGGACGGGUGAGGAAUACAUCGGAAUCUACUUUUUCGUGGGGGAUAACGUAGGGAAUCUUACGCUAAUACCGCAUACGACCUACGGGUGAAAGCAGGGGAUCUUCGGACCUUGCGCGAUUGAAUGAGCCGAUGUCGGAUUAGCUAGUUGGCGGGGUAAAGGCCCACCAAGGCGACGAUCCGUAGCUGGUCUGAGAGGAUGAUCAGCCACACUGGAACUGAGACACGGUCCAGACUCCUACGGGAGGCAGCAGUGGGGAAUAUUGGACAAUGGGCGCAAGCCUGAUCCAGCCAUACCGCGUGGGUGAAGAAGGCCUUCGGGUUGUAAAGCCCUUUUGUUGGGAAAGAAAAGCAGCAGGUUAAUACCCCGCUGUUCUGACGGUACCCAAAGAAUAAGCACCGGCUAACUUCGUG
rnacentral:rRNA from 1 species